GGGGACGUAGCUCAGCUGGGAGAGCGCCUGAAUGGCAUUCAGGAGGUCGGCGGUUCGAUCCCGCUCGUCUCCACCA
rnacentral:tRNA from 2 species